rnacentral:lncRNA from 1 species
GUCAAAGCAGGAUCUCCUUUAUUGAGAAAACGCACACAGCUAAUAUAAUGUACAGGAGCCAAUCAGGAUAAAGGUCAGCAGGGUGGGGAGAAUUUACAUCUACACCCAUCCUACUGGCAGUAACGGGAGACAGGAGCUGUCUGUGAAGGCAGAAGGGUUCUGAGCCUAUCCUAGAGGUGGUCCAAUUCUUCAUCACAACCCAUGGCAAUGCCUUCUGGCUAACUGCUAGGUACUCUCUUAGCCACAGGUGGCCCCAGGACUGGGAAGCGGGUGCAGCCAGCAAGGUAAGUUUCCUCUUUUCUGAUGCAACAUGCUCCACAGUUACAUUAUGCCCUACAAUGAUCCUCCUGAACAUCACCAGAGGGAUGUUCAAUUUCUCUGUGGCACCACUGGGCUCGAAAUGUAGGUACUGAAAGAAGCCAUCUCCUUGGCUGGCUUCUCUGAGGACAUGGUGUGGUGGGGCGGGGUGAUGGGAGCAGCCCAGCUGCUCCAGGGGGCUUCUCUGCUGUUCUACAUCCCUCAACCAUCAGCUGCCCACCCCCCUGAGGCCAUCUGUCCCACAGCCCAUGUGAUGCAGCCACUCACAGCCUCCAAGGGCCUUUCAGUGUCUGUCCCACCCUUUCCAAUUCCAUCACUACUGGCUUCCAGAUAUCUGCAGUUUCUGUAGAAACUCUUCACUACUCUGAACCAGCUAGUUAUCAGGUUCAUAUUUUGGUGCCUUAAACUCCAGGGAAAUCAUUCUUAUUUAAUUAUUCACAAGUAUUUUCCUUCCAGAAGUGCUAGACACCACCAUGGCGGGGGCAGGGGAGGCACGACUCAGCCUCCACAGGGUCAGUGCCCAGGGCCCAAUCCACUCUAAGUGUGACUCAUUCCUUCUUCCUCACCUAUGGUCCUUUAGGGGACCUGGUGCUCAAUCCCUGCAUCUGGCAGGGCCCUCUAAACCCCUAAGACACAUCUGCACAUGUCAGAAUUCAAGGUGUGGACAGGAUUCACGUUCCUCCCAUGGGGCUAUUGGCACAACCCAGACAGGGUUGUGGCUAAAGAGCUGCCCAAGUGUCCCUUAACCUCCCACACACUGGGACUCUCUACAUCUCCACAUUUCAUCAUAUCUGAGUCUUCACUUUGAUCCAGUCAAAACUCUUUUUUGAAAGCUUCUAUGGUUAUGUGACAGAAAAAGAAAGAAAAACCUUCACUCUUUCCCUUCUUUUUAUAAGAAGAAAGCAGAGCUGGUAGUGUACCUCAGUACUGGAGCAUGCGUGAGGCCCUGGGUUCAGUCCCCAGACCCAGAAACAAACAAACUAUUGUCUCCAGGAGAAAUAAUCAACAUUUGUGUUUUGGAGAUAUUUUUGUUCUAAUAAGUGUACUAAUCCAAAAAUCCUCCCGGUGGAAGGGAAACCUCCAUUGGAUCAUGCAUCCAAUCUGGCUCCCAGGAUGGGUUUUCCUUCCCCAGCACUGGGCACCUGGAGGAAGCCUGUUGGGAAAACAUAACGGCAGCCGCACCCCAGAGAAAAACCCCAGCAUGGCAUCUAACGACCCUCCUUCUCUUCUUUGUUUCUUUCAUUGGCGCGAAACGUUCCCGCCAGUGCCAAUGUUCAAAUCGUGCUGAUGGGAAGCCUUAGCCCCAAUUAGAAUUAACUUCUUGGGCUCCGGAACUGACAUAUGGAAGAGCUUGCCAAUAAACGGGCGACCUGUUAUCUACCUCAGCCCCUGCUACCUCUCUUAGACCUAUGUAAACACACAGCCUUUUGUAAUAAAGCGGAAACCUCUUUGGUAAUCUGUGUCGUGUGAUGCGGCGUCUUCCCAUCUUACAAAGCCAGGAACUUUAGAACAGGAAUUGGGGUCCUGUCAGGGAGGGAGGAAGCCAGGAGCGAGAGCACAUCCUCUGGGAUGGGUUGGGGAUAGAAAUGAACUUAUGAACUGCCACUAGAACAAGUAGAGACUGUGCUGGCAUGGCAGGAGCAUGGAGUCAAAUAGAGGACGAUAACUAGAGUGGAGUGGAGGGACAUCUGUCUGAGCAUCCUCAUAAGGAGGGUGAAGACAGGUGAGCCAUGAGGAGGUAACCAUGGUGGGACCCACCUGUAAUCUCAGUGGCUCCAGAGGCUGAGACAGGAGGAUCAUGAGUUCAAAGCCAGCCUCAGCAACUUAGAGAGGGCCUUAGCAACUUUGACAGACCCUGUCUCAAUAGAAAAAAUGAAAAAGGCUGGGGAUGUGGCUCAGGGGUUAAGCGCCCUGGAUUAAAUUCCCGGUACCAAAAGGAAAUUUGCCAUCUUAAUCAUUUUAAGUGUACAAUUCAGUGGCAAUAAUCACAUCCACUGUGUUGUGCAACCAUCAUCACUAUCCACUUCCAGAACUUUUUCAUCAUCCCAAACUGAAACUCUAUCCCAUUAAGCAAGAACUACCCAUUCCCUUCUCCCUCAAGCCCCAGUAAAUUCUGCCCUACUUUCUGUCUCUAUUAAUUUGACUCCUCUAGAUAUUUCAUAUAAAUGGGGUCAUACAAUAUUUGCUUUUUUGUGCUUGGCUUAUUUCACUGAGCAUGUUUUGGAAGUUCAUCCAUGUUGUAGGCAUGUACCAUAAUUCCAUUCCUUUUAAAGACUGGAUAGUAUUCCAUUGCCUGAAGAUGCCACAUUUAGUUUCUUCAUUCAUCUGUUGAGAGACAUUGGGUUGUUUCCACCUUUUGGUUGCUGUGAACAACACUGAUGUGGGCACUGAUGGACAAGUCCUUGUCUUUUUUUUUUUUUUACAGUUUCCUUCAGUUUGCAGUCUGGUGUGCUGCUCUUGUCAAUAUUGAAAGAUUCAAGUCUUAAAGGGGAAAGGAGACCUACCUCAGCCCUCUUUCCCUACCCAACACUCUCCCAGGCUCCAGAUGGAGGAAACUUCACCUCAGAAUGCCACAGAGCAACACGCACAAAGUUGGAAACCACAGUCAGAGGAACAUCCAAGGAGGACAUGCAAGAGGAAAGGUGUGGCCAACCCAAUCUUCCAUUUCUCUCUCUGAAAGAGAUGCUCCAUCAGCAGAGGAGAUGGGGUGAGCCAGCUCUAUAUCUAUUUGAGGAUUGCAUUUAUAAUACUUAAAAAUAAGUCUGGGAAGAUAGGGAAGAAUAUGUUUACAGUGCUCAUUUUGGAGGAUGGAAUCAUUGGUGCUAUUCCUUUCAUAUUAAAUAAAAAAAUAGAACUGUUUCUACUAAUGAAUGCUAGAUUGAUUACUCAGAUAAAAAAUAUAACAAAAUAUUCAUUUCAGUGCUUGCAUUCAAAAUACAACCAUCCAACUGUCCCUUCUUUUAAGCAGGAAGUUUUAUGCAUUAGAAUUGUCACAGAUUUUAUUAAGAUUUUUGACAUGUCUUCAAGACAGUGAGCCUGUGUCAUUAACUGAAUUAUCCAUUGUGUGGCUAAUGCUAUUAGGAAACUACAAAUAAAACAGACAUAUAAUUAUACUCAAAUUACUGAAAUAAAAAAUACAGACCAGAUCUGUGCCAUGCACAUAAUAUAAAACAAAUUUCCACCAAUCUCAGUAAGAAUGAUGCUGUCACAUGUAUGUAUUUGGAAAGUAGGAGGCCUUACACACUCUAUGUGCUUAGUGUCCUGGGAGUGCAGCUUUAAGGAGAUCUAAGAGCUCAGCUGUUCUUCCUAAUGUCUUCAGCUCUGUAGCUCAUUGCCCUGCAGUGGGCAGGAGUAGGCCUUGUCACCUUGAAUACCUCCUUGGCAAGUAACCCACAGGAACAAAGCAGGCAGGGUAUCCGAUGGUGACUGUGUCAUUUAUCUUCCAAGUGCAAACACUUUUAAGACUGAAAACGGGAGUGACUUCAUUCAUUUUCUCAUGCUAUAAAAUAAUAUCUGAGACUGAAUGAUUUAUAAAGGAAGGAGACUUAUGUGGUUCCUGGUUCUGGCAACUGGGAAAUCCAAGAGCACCCACUGGCAUCUGCUAGGCUUCUGGUGAGAACCUCAUGCAGCUUCAAAUCCUGAUGGACAGUGGAAGGGCAAACAGAUGAUUGUGAAAGAGGCAAGACAACAACCCAUUGUCUCAUAGUAAUUAAACCAGUGCCUCAAGAGCAGGGACUCCUUCACACAGAGGCACUAGUCCAUUCUUGAGGGCUCUGCUUCCCAGACCUGAGCACUUCUUGCUAACCCCCACUUCCCAACACUGCUACAAUGAGAAACUAAUGUUUCAACACAUAAAUUAUUUUUCAGGGGCACACUAGAACCCUAGCAUGGAGCUAUUGCUAAUUGCAUGGAGAAAAUUAGUAUAAACUGGGACCAGGAAGGUAAAUCAGGAAGUGAUGUAUGUUUCCUUUAAAAUAAAGCAUAUAGAAUGAGGGGGCUUCUGGCUACAACUAGAGAGUACACCCCCUUCCAGCCACUGACGGACAAUAUUUGAAAGCAAAUCUAAUCUCGGCAGUUUCCCCAAGGGAAUCAUUGCAGGCAUCCAGGACAAGCUUCACAAGCUGUGGAACUGACAGGACUCUCCCCUGUUACACUACGUUUUAGUCAGCUGUUUUGCCACUGUGACAAAAUGACUCAACCAGAACAACUGCAGAGAAGGAAAAGUUUAUUUGAAGGCUCACGGUUCAGCGGUCUUAAUCCAUAGAAGGCCAGCUCCAUUCCUCAGGGCUCGAGGUGAGGCUGAACAUCAUGGUGAGAGGGUGUGGCAGAGGGAAGCAGCUCACAUGAUGAUCAGAAAGCAGAGACUCCACUCACCAGCUACAAAUAUAUACCCCAAAGCCAAGCCCCAGUUCCCACCUCCUCCAGCCACACCCCACCACUUCAGUUACCACUCAGUUAAUCCCCAUCAGGGGGUUAAUUCACUGACUGGGUUAAGACUCUCACAACUCAAUCCUUCUCCUCUGAGCCUUUUUGCAUUGUCUCACACAUGAACUUUUGGGGGACACCUCAUAUGCAACCAUAACACACUUCAAACUGGAAACAACUAAGAUGGUCUGUAGGGCAUGAUGUAACAUGUGGGGCAUGUUGCAUCAGAAAAGAGGAAACCUAACUUGCUGGCUGCUACCCGCUUCCCAGUCCUGGGGCCACAUGUGGCUAAGAGAACACCUGGCGAUUAGCCAGAAAGCAUUGCCGUGGGUUGUGAUGAAGAAUCGGACCACCUCUAGGGUAGGCUCAGAACCCUUCUGCCCUCACGGACAGCUCCUGUCUCCCAUUAUGGGUAUACAGGUGAACUCUCCCCACCCUGCUCACCUUUAUCCUGAUUGGCUCCUGUAUAUUAUAUUAGCUGUGUGUGUUUUCUCAUUAAACGAGAUCCUGCUUUGACUGGUCUCCCUGGCACAUCUGAUUGUCCUCUGGCGAGGGAGGGCUGGGUGUGGGUGGCCAGUCAGCCUUUUCCCUUUCUUGGCUCAUCCUGGUCAGGGCGUGUUUUACCCAUCUCUCUCGCAGGUCAGGAGGGAACGGAGGCUAAAACCCCCGACAGUGGUCGAUAACAUGAGAUGGUUGGGGAAAUGGUGGUGUGUUCAUAUUGGCUUUUGCUAGUCAUGUCCUUAAAGAAUUUUCAGUGAAAUGGGCAAAAAUCUCAUGACACAGUGUUGACUUAAAAAAGCAGAUGACAGUCAGGCACCAUGUCACAUGCCUGUAAUCCCAGCUGUUUGGAAUGCUGAGACAGGAAGAUUAGCAACUCAGCAAGGCCCAAAACAUCUUAGUGAGACCCUGUCUCAAAAUAAAAAAUUAAAAAGACUGGGUAUGUGGCUCAGUGGGAAACCAGCAUUCAAUCUCUGGUGGAAGGAAGGAAGGAAGGAAGGAAGGAGACUACAAAGUAACCCACCACUCUGUAGCAAACAUCUAUAUCAUCCCUCUCUGACUCUCUCUCUAUAUAGAGAGAGAGACAUAUAUAUGUAUAUACAUGAAGAAUGUACAAUAUGUAUAUGAAGAAUAUAUAAAGAAUGAUUUUUGUCCUUAGUGUUUCCUCAAGGUUUUUCUUUAUAGUAAGCAUCAUUAUUUGCAGAAUCAGAAAAAUGCAUUAUAUAUGUAUAUGAACGCCGAAUGUAAAUAUAUAAAUCCAGCUUUCACACACACGUUGUAUGUAAGUGCUUGUGUGUAAAUGUACAUAUAUUAUGUUUUCUCAUGUGGUACCUCCAGUACUACUCCAUCUGGCCAGAGAAUCCCUUGUCAUCUUCUACACCUUGGCCUUGGGUAGAAGCCCAUGUCAGGAUCAUGACAGGUAGAGUCAAAAAAAGAAUUCUCAGAAAAUGUCUGCAUCCUAAAUUUUCUGGACAAUAUAGUAAUGCCAGGAAGGGGAGGCAACAGAAUUUUGUUACCAUAUUAGAGGUUGUGGGUGUGCACAAACUUUUAGUAAAAAAAAAAAAACUCUUAUUGUUACACUCUUUUACAAAAAUGGGCUUUCCGGUGCUUAAUCUAUUUUCUAAAUGAUCCUUUCUAGGCCACCUGCAUCCUGCACACGCAUCCACAAAAGGUUUUGUUGUGUUUGUGUUAAUGUCAAGUCUGUCAAUAAAGCUGAAUCUCAUUGCCUGGCUGCAAAGGGGAAGCCUGUCUCCUGUGAUUCCACUGGAGACAUGCACAGGAGGGUAGUCACCACACAGUCCAGGGAGAUUUUUCUUUCCCCUGGAUUUUGGGAAGAGAACCUAACAGUGUCUAUGUAGCCACUGGUUCACUUGGAUUAAUAAAUAUCACAGGAGACUGGGGAUGUGGCUCAGUGAUAGAGCGCUUGCCUAGCAUGGAUGAAGCCCUGGGGUUCAAUCCCUACCGAAAAAAAAAAUCACAGAGCAAACAGACUGGUAAAGUUGCUGUGUUCUCUUUGGAUCAAAUGACAUUUUUAUGUAUUUACUUGUACAUAUUGCAUUUCAUUAGAAAAGGCUUUGACAUGGUAUAAUGGCUUAUUUAUUCUUUAUUUGCUUUCAUUUGUUGAAUUUAUGUAUUGAUUUUCCAAAACAUGAUAAGAUUUAAAAAAAUAAAAAAGAAAAGUAGAAGAGGAGGCAAGGGGAGUAUUAGUGCACAGAAUGCCUGUGAGUUACAAAGAUAGCCCUUGGGGACUUCCUGGAGGUAGAGUCACCUUAUGACUGAGUCAGUGGGAGAGGCUCAUGAAGCAAGCUGCUUUUAUUUGGGGGUCUAAACAUUUUAAAACACUAUAAAUAGUUCAUUGAAAGUUCAUCCAGAGUCCAAAAAUUGUUAGAUGCAAUCAUAAACUCCUGUGAUGACCACAGAAGACAGAAAUACCUUAGUGCUGUAAUUUAUUGCUAUCUUCUAGGAAAGCUUGGAGUGACUACUAGGUACAGAACAAUGCCCAGUGAAUAAAUUAGGGCUUGGCAGUAUGAAGAUUCCUCAGAAAACUUGGAAUGGAACUACCAUUUGACCCAGUUAUCCCACUCCUCAGCAUAUACCCAAAGGACUUCAAAUCAACCUACUAUAGUGAAACAGCCAUAUCAACAUGUAUGGCAGCUCAAUUCACAAUAGCUAAGCUAUGGAUCCAACCUAGGUGCCCUUCAACAGAUGAAUGAAUGGAUAAAGAAAAUGCGAUAUAUAUACACGUGGGUUAUUACUCAGCCAUAAAGAAGAAUGAAAUUAUGGCAUUUGCUGGUAAAUGUAUGGAAAUGGAGAAUAUCAUGCUAAGCGAAAUAAGCCAAUCCCCCGAAACCAAAGGUCAAAUGUGCUCUCUGAUAUGUGGAUGCUGACACACAAUCAAGGGAGUGGGAGGGAAGAAUAGAAAUUCGUUGGAGUAGACAGAGGGGAAUGAAAGGAAGGAAGGGAGGAUGGGUUAGGAAAGAUGGUAGAACGGAUCAGACAUAACUUUCCUACAUUCAUACAUGAAUACAAGACCAGUGUAACCUCACAUUAUGUACAACCUCAAGAAUGGGAAGUUAUACUCCAUGUUUGUAUGACAUGUCAAAAUACACUCUACUGUCAUGUAUAUCUAAAAAGAACAAAUUUUUUAAAAUUUAGGACUUGGUCUUAAGAAGUCUUUAUCCAUCUUUAAAUCUAGAUAAAGAGUCUUUGGUCUUGACCUAACAUGUUGCUAAGAUUCCUUAGCCUGCCAUUCAAGGCCACCACAAGCCACAGUGGACAAAUAUAAGCCUUAGCCCCACUUCUUCUCUACAUGACCCUCUCAUUCCAAUGGAAACAGAGUAUUCAGGUUCCCCAUGCAUGCUGGUGACUAAAGGACCCGACCAGCACAAUUGUAGAGGAGGAAAUGUUUACUUGAGGGCUCAUGGUUUCAGAGGUCUUAGUCCUUAGAAGGUGGGAUCCAUUUCUCAGGGCUCAAGGUGAGGUAGAACAUCAUGGUGGAAAAAUGUGGCAAAGGGAAGAAGUUCACAUGGUGAUCAGCAAAUGGAGAAAGAGACUCCACUCUCCAGAUACCAGUAUAUACCCCAAAGCCAUGCCCUCAAUACCCCACCUCUUUUAGCCACACCCCACCUGCCUUCAGUGAUUAAUUCACCUGCCAUCAGGUGAUUAAUUCACUGAUUGGGUUAAGGCUCUCAUAACCCGAACAUUUUUUUCUCUGAACUUUCUUGCAUUGUCUCACACAUGAGUUUUGAGGGACACCUCACAUCCAAAUCAUAACAAUUUGCAAUGCUUUUUUUUUUUAACCCAGGGGUGCUUAACCACUGAGCCAUAGCCUCAGCUCUUUUGUUUAGAAACAAAGUCUUGCUGUCUUACUUAAGGCCUCACAAAGUUGCUGAGGCUGGCUUUGAACCUUUGAUCCUCCUGCCUCAGCCUCCCAAGCCACUGGGAUUACAAGCGUGUGCCACUGCCCUGGCCACAAUGCUCUUUUUUACUGAUAAGAAAACCCAAAUCCUUUGUGAGGCAUCUGAUCACUUUCUUUUCUAUCUACUGCCUCUUGCAGCCUGGAGUAUCCCUAUCUCCUGUGAAGUUAAGUGAGACAUGAGACUGAAUUCUAGCCAAUGGAAAGUGAAAUGAAACAAAAAUGACUCAAGUACCCUGCUAGUAGUUUAAUGGGGUGGUUGCAGGGGUGAGGGGUGGGUGGAGGGGUCAAAUGGCCUCGGAAACUGCAAGAUGAAAAUGGAAGAGCUAAAGGAUGGAAAGAGACUAAGACCCGGAAUUGCUACCUGGAGAACUACCCACCCAUCAGGAAUUUAUUACACAUCCAGAAGUCUGUGUUAUAGCAGCUAACCUAUUUUGACUAAUAUACCCCAGUGGAGAGGUUCAUAUUGCACAAAUGUAUUAUGUUCUUAUAUGUUGGGGUCCUCUCUCUUCAAUUAGACUGUAAAUUCCUUUGCAACGCUUCCAUUUAAAAGUCUUAUAUUCAUAGAAAGCCUAUCACAGAGGUUCAUACAAAAUGAGCCUUCAGGAAAUACCAAGUGAUUUAACAGGCUUCAAAUGGGAUGCAACUAGGUCUUUGUGGUUUGUGUGUGAGUACCUCCCUGGGUAGUCACAAAGGACUGGACUCCCAGGGAUCCAAAAUCCAAGGUUGCUCAAGUCCCUUAUAUAAAAUGAUGAAGUAUUUGCAGAUAAUCAAUGCACAUCCUCCCACAUAUCUUAAAUACUCUCUAGAUUACAAUACUACCUAAUACAAUUUAAAUGUUAUGUCAAUAUUUACAGAAUAUUAAUAAUAUAUUCUAUUAUUUAGAGAAUGACUAGAAAAAACAAGUUCAGUAUAGAUGAACCCCCCUCCAAUCUCUGAUUGGUUGAAUCAGAGGAUGUGGAACCCCCAUGAUAUAGAGAGGUGAGUGUGUAUGGUCGUGUGCUAGUGCUCACUGUUAAUAAAAGUUCUUGCUGCUAAGGAAUUUGAGAACCAAUGUGUGCUUAAAGUUGAGAUCUAGUGGAAAAAAAAAUGAGUAUGUCCAAAAAUCUAUUUAGAACUUCAUUCAGAGAUAUUUAGCCCUUUGAACCUAGAGACUAUUGAAGUUAAUGCAAGGUUCAGUCAAGAUAAAACAGGACAGUGAAUUGGGAGGAGGUUUGGGGUCUCUUGUCCCAAUUGUUGCGUACAUUGUGUGACUUUCAAUUUCCUUGACUAUAAAAUGAAUUUGGUAGUUCCCCAGUGAAAUUCUGUGGACUAAUGAUAAAUUAACUGGCAUUCAAUUUUACACACACACACACACACACACACACAUUCCAUGUGCUUCUGAUGUACAAACAAGAUUUGGGGAAUGGUGGGCUGGGUAAUUUUAUCCUCUGAAUCUAUGCUGUUUAACUUGGAAACACAAAUUUAUUUUGCUGAUCUUAGAACAUAGGAUUGAAUAAACCAUCCCUAUGGGAGAAAAAAAAGUGAAACACCUUUAUCUAGUUCAAAUAAAAAGGAGAAAUAUAUAUGCUUUAACAUGAUUUGGUAGAGGAAAUGUUUUCUUUGACAGGAUAUUAGAGAAUCUGUCAUGAGUUAUUAAAUAGGGAAGUCAAAGUUCCCAUUGCAGGAACUUAAUAAAUAUUUGUUGAUUAACUGGUUGAUGUGCUAAUUGAAGCAGAGAAGGAAUUUUGUCUCUGUUUUGAAGUCCAGAUUUCUAAUUGCUCAUUCAGGAUAAAAAUGUGCUUUGUGUUCAGCUAAGCAACCUAAACUGUCUAUUCCAUUAUUCAAACACACACCAAAAAGGACUUAAUGUAGCCUUUGGCAACUGAAGAUAUAACUGCUGCAUCAGACUUCUUUGGGUCAAAUAGUACUGGUUACUUUUAGUUAUUGAAAAAUAUUACAUAAUGUAUGUGCUGAACUUGACAUAGGUUUAAAUCAUAGCACCUCAGGAAUUUCAGACAAAAAUCCUCACACUUUGAGGGUGGCCUUGUUCCCCUUCUGUGGAUGUUUAUUUUUGACUUAGAGUGAAAACCAAAGGGUGACUAUGGCAGAACUUUCUACAAUGGAAAGGAUCCAAGGUCCUUUAAAAGUGCAUCAAUCAGAGCUAUUGAUUCGAAAAGUAAGCGAUUUCCAGUGGUACCAAAGAAUUGUCCUAGUAUAAUAAUUAGAAUGUGUCUUCUAUUCAACACAUUCCAAAUUACUUUCUAUUCAAACAUUUCCAAAAAUGUGUUUUUAUUCAACAUGUUCAAAAUGUCCAUCUUUCAAAAUAUAUUCCUCGAUAAGCCAGUCCCAUCCCAAAUCAGUGGUUCCCACCUUUAUUCCGCAGACUUGGAGGUCAUUUGAAGAAUACAUUCAAUUUUCAUGUAAAUUUGAAUUGUGCACAUUUUAAAUAGUAUCACUGAAUGGGCAACAUAUGAAGUAGUGGAAAUUCCUCCAAAUGUAUUUGAUUUGUCCAGAGUGAUAUAACAAAGCCAGAGCACUGAUCUGGUGACACUUAUAUCACACUUAUAUCUUUGUCUGCUGGUAGCCCAUACUAUGGUAAUAAAUUCCUGUAAGCUUUGGGUGAAUGGCGGUAAACCAUGGCAUGAAUGAGGACUGAAGGCUAUCAUAAGUCAUCUUGGUGACAGUGGAUAUUUGAAACAUUCAUUGUUUUAAUAACUUAACAUCUUUUCUAUCCUAUGCUGAUAUCAUUACCUGUUAGUACCUGUACGUGACAUGAGAUUAUGUGAGAUAUGAUAGAGAAGGACUGGCCUGGCCUUAUCCACAGUGCAAUUAAUUUAGGAGAAGACUCUGCAAAAUUAAAGGAAUAAUGCCAGUACAUUUUUAAAGCAUCAUUAAAACAAAAAUAUGCUACAGCGAGUAUAGAAUUACAUACUCUGAGAAUCUAUCUCCUCUUUAUUUUGUGAGUGUGUCUACAGAAAAAUUAGACUUGAAUUAGGUGAAUUCUGAGUGAUGUAGUUCUUUAAGAAUGCAAUCACCUUCAAAACAUUUCCAUGUGUAUAUCCCUCCUAGAUUAUAAUCUCUUCUAAGAGGAAGCAGAAACCAUCUGUUAUUUUUAUAUUCCACACUCUAAUGACCUAAAAACAAUCAUGGUGGCAUUGUGCUAGAAGUUUACUAUUUACAAAGUGCUUUUGUCUCAAUUCACCCUUGUGAUGACCUUGUGUAUGAGUUUCUUGUUUCCCCAUUUGACAGAUGAGGACCCAGAGGUGUAGAGAGAUUUGUUGACUUGCUCAUGUCACUCAACCAUGAGUGAUGGGUAAGAAAACCAGUUUUCUGGAAUGGGAACCUGCAGGCAUCAAGAUGGACUUCUAACAUGUACCUUUUUGAAGGACUAUCUGAUUCCUUCCUCUGCAUGUAGACAUGUUUUGGCAACACGGAAGAUAAAAACCUCCCUCUUUCCAUCUUUUCUGCAUAAUCUAUGAUUGUGGUCCUCUAUGCAUUUCCCUGGGGAAUCAUGUAGCUGAGGCAACACUUGGUUUGGGGCUGUCUGGUGAUCAAGAAAGGUCCCUGGUGGACACCAAUAUUCAAUGCGUGGAAAUGUAUCCCCUAGGGUUGGAGAGAAGAGGAAGGCACAAGUCUUAUCAGAGCUAUGGGUCCUCAUGAGAGUAGCAGAGUACAUUGGGGACCAGAUUCUGUUUCUGUCAUAACAAAUCAUGAAAUCUUAGACAAGCCCUUCAAUCUUUUCAGGCCUUAAUUUCCUCCUUUGAUAAAUAGGACCAAUUCUAGCUCAAACUAUUUAGCAAGACUGUUGUGAAUGAUGGGAAUGUGUUCUUUCUAAUGCAUGCCACAUUAGUGCAGGACACCCCCAGGACCUAUAGUGAGCCAGUGGGAUGACCAUCCAGCACCCCAUUUCCUGGUGGGCAUAUGAAGGCUUUGUAGUUGUUGAUUUUUAAAAAUAAACUCAGUUUUCCAGAUUUGGAAAACAAAUAGCAAAUACAUUAUGUUGCUGGUCAAAGAAAUGGAAAUAUGUAUUUAUAAGCAAAUCUAUUUUGCUAGUUUUUACAGAUAGAAAAUUAUGUCCCCUAUUGGCCUAUCAGCAAAAAUCUAUAAAAUUAUCCAGAUAUAAGGAGUGAAAUAAGUAGUAAGAAUUUAUUUUCAAAAUGUCCAGAAUAGAAAAUUGAGAUGUUCCAUAAAGAAUCUCCUCUCCUUGUCCCAAAAUGUGCUUAGGGUACAGCUUUGCCAAACCAAAGCAGAUUUGGCAGGGAACUUGUCCUUGUCAUCCAGAACACAGGGCGUGUACGUGCAAGUAACAGGGAGAAGGAAGCACUGGUACAUGCAUACCACCCUGGGGACAAAGGCAGACCCCCAGCAAGAAGCAUGUUGUCCUUGGUGCCAGCCCUGUUCCUCCCUGCUGCCACCGGUGGGCAUCUGAUUUCUCCUGAGUUCGUAUAUUUGUGGGAAGUGAUUACACUCAGGGGGGAAGAAUAGCAGUGUUAUCUUGUGAUCUUUUGAUUCUGGCUGCCUGGAAUGCAUGUUUGAAUAUGAAUCUCUGAGGAGACCUGGCUCAGGAGCCAAAAGUAGUUGAGUACUCAUUCCACAUUCCCUUCUCUUGAACUUAAAGUUCCCUGGGAUGGUCUUGGCUGGCAGCCUAUGGCCACUGAAUUCUUUGUUUUGUUUUAAAUAUGCUGAAUUGUGCAUAAGUCAAGGGUGUAUGCAUUUGCACACUGAAAAAAAAAAGUCUUCCAUCUUAUUCAUGAAAAUUUGUGAAAAUGUGGCACUAGCAGAAUUCUCAAAUUGCAGACGAUAUAGAAUAAUUUCUAAACCAUAGACCCACCUCCCAUUUAGCACCUUUAGAAUAAGAAAUGUCCCUUUCUGAGGUUGAGGAGGGAGAAGAGACUCAAGAAGAUCAUGUGAUUUGUGUGAGGCCACUCAGUCAAUUGACAGAAGAGCCAGGAUGAGAAAGAACAAUUUCUCUGCAUCCUCCUGUCUUGGAACAUCGCUAGCAUGAUCUGGAUUUCUGUCAGAUGGGUCAUACCACAGGAUCAGUACCCGGAACUGGGAGAACCACCUUGAAUGGAAUAGGCACACUAAAAGUCUUUGCAGAGAGCAGGUAGAGUCUAAGAAACAGAGUCAAGUCUUUGAAAGCUGUGGCUACAGAAAGAGGGGGUAUUCUCAAAGCUGUUGGAACUUUAGAGAAGAAACUGGGAGCAGGUGAGGUUGAGAGAUUAUUCUUGCAGAUAGUCUGUUUGUAUCAGACCCCCAACCACUGAGCCCCAUUUUAAGGACAGUAUUCCUGUCCCUGGGAGAAUGUCUGAUCUUAGAAAGUCAGAAACUCAAUGCCACAGGGACUAAAGUGGUUAUCAAAAGACAAAAGUGCACAUUCGAGUUUUAAGAAAUAAGACUGGAACCCAAUGAUCUGGCCAAAGAUGGGGUUCAUUUUCAGGUGUAAAAUAACAAAUCAGGAGCCAGAAGACAGUGUCAGAGAAUUGGAAUAAAUCUGCUAACGCUCUAGGUAGUUUUGAUCCCAGAGGCCAGACUGGGGUUGAGUCUGCAGAUUUGAGAUGUUUAAGGGGUGUGGAAUAGGACAAAGGUGAAGGCUGCUGACCAGGCAGAACUUGGCCUAGACUUUUAACCCAGUGCUCUUUCCUAUUAAAUAUUUAUCUGUUAGCUUCUGCAAAUCUGGAGACUUUUGACCUCUGUGCCUUAUAUGAAAGGGAGAGUAAAGGGAUAUGAGGUUCUGAUUUGCUCUUGCUACUUUGACGAGAACAAGCCUGUAUAUGCCAAAUUUGACAAUCGCAUAUCAGAUGAUUCAAGUCCAGGGAAGUCAUAGCCUUCAGAUAGACUCUUCCAUGGCAGAGCUUAAAGUUCUUCAUAAGUACUCAGAAAAUGGACAUUUAAAAAGUAUAGCAUUAAAUGGGCAUUUUUAAAACAUAUAUUGCAUUUAAGAGGUGUGGUCUAGUGGGAGGUCUUAAGGUCACUGGAAGAAUGCCCUUGAAGGAGAUAGUGGGAUCCGGCCCUUUCCUGUCUUUGGCUUUCUGGCAAUGAGGGUGAGUGAUUUUGCUCCACCAUUUGCUCCUAGCUUGAUAAAUGGUGUCUCAACACAGCCCCCAAAGUAAUGGGGCCAACCAAUCAUGGACUUGAACCUGAACUUUUAAAACUAUGAACCAAAAUAAACAUUUUCUCUUUAUAAGUUAAUUAGCUCAGGUAUUUUGUUAUAGUGAUAGAAAGUGGACUAACACACUCACCUUUUGUCUAAGCCCACCUUCACUGUCAUAGAGCAGAAGAAACUAUUCUUCUCACUAUAUUGUCACACAAAAUUAUUCGGAUCAUGUCAUAUCGAGUUAACUCCUUUUCUUCAUAGAAAAUAAUACAUUAUAGAGUUUCCCAUGAUCUUCUUGUAGAAGAAAGAAUAAUAAUAUUGUUGAGCUGAUUUAUAACUAGCUGAAUGAUCAGUUCUUUGGACUUGAAAGUCAUUGUGUUAGCUUGAGGGAGAUUAUUAGAUCUUUGCUCUUGGCCGUGGACAAAGUGACAAUUGUAUGAAUAACAUGGAUGAAGUUGAGAAAGCAUGCAUAUCAGAUUGAAAGCAUACUUAUCAGAUCCAUAAGUGUAGGUAGGUUAAUUAAAACCAAAUAAUAAAUGCCAAGUAAAUAAUGGAUACACAAAAUCCAAUAAAUGUCCCUAAGUUUGCAUUAAUGAUUUUACCUGUGUUUUAAGUUCAACAGGGAAACAUUUAAAAAAAUAAUCAUGGCUACAAAUUGUUUUAGUUUCCCUGGGAACACAAAAGAAGAAGAAAGAGAAGGAGAGAAAUGAUAAGAAAAGAAAAAGGAAGAAGAGAGACAUUGUCACAUGGCUUAGAUCCUUCCAUGGAUGUUUUGAUUUAGCAUGUGGUUGAUUUAUGUGAAAAUUAGUAAGGACACAUACCAAACUAUUAGCUAUAAUUAAUUCAGAAUCAGGGGACAGACUUUUAAAAAUUUGCCUUUAUUUUUACUAUAUUUUUUGCUUAUGUUUUCCAUAAUCAUAUGUAUUGCUUUUUUUGCAGGGGGGUAGGUAACUGGGGGUUGAAUUCAGGGGCACUCGACCACUAAGCCACAUCCCCAGCCCUAUUUUGUAUUUUAUUUAGAGACAGGAUCUCACUGAGUUUCUUAGCACCUCGCCGUUGCAGAGGCUGGCUUUGAACUCGCAAUCCUCCUGCCUCAGCCUCCCGAGCUGCUGGGGUUACAAGUGUGCACUACUGUGCCCAACAUAUAUUGCUUUUUUAAUCAAGGAGGAAAAGUUGAUUUUUUUUUAUUAAAGGGAUUAGAAUUGACUGACUACUUUACCUGAGCUAAGUGUAUAAUGUUGUUACUAAAACAGCACUUGGAAUCACAGGCUACCUUUACGUGAGCAUGGUAGCCACAUAAGGUCAGUAAUGGCACCACUGUGCCUGCACAGAGCUCAUCACCAUGUUUUAUUCUGUGGUCCAUGUAUUGACAGAAACAUCAUUCAUCAGUAAAUGAAGAAUCUGCAAUCUUGUCCUGUGAGCUAAGGACAAGAACCUGGUUUGGAAAAGAAGACUCAUGACAAGUAUCUCUUUAUAUGUGAAGUUCUAUAAGGUACAAGAGGAGGCAUCCUCAGAAGUCAGACAAUCACAAGAAGAAUCUAUUCUCAACAUAAGAAAGAACCUGAAAAAGUAAAGUGGGCUAGAAAUGGGGUAGUGUUUAUGCACAAUUGUGGACCCUUGUGAAUUUUGUAGGAAAGACUUCUGUGUCCUCUGGCUAAUUUAUAAAUUCAUGGAGACACUCAUUUUUUUUUCAGCCAAUAUUUAUUGAGAAGAUCUGGUAGUCCAAGAAAGCUGGAUUGAGUGACUUUUGGAGAGUUCUUUUCAAUCAAAUUAUGCUUCUUCUCAGUUCUGGGUCUCUUAUACUAUGACUUCAUUCAAAAUGAUUUUGAUUGUGUGCUAACUAUUCAAGGGAUAUUUUUUCAGAAUCUACCAUGAACAAGUACAAACUUAAAAGAUUAAGUCUAAGAUGCGUGAAUUCCAAACCUGCAAAGUUAAGGCCCUUGGUAGCAGUCACAGGAAAUCCUGAGCAAUCCUGAGAAUCCAGGUCCAAUUCCAGACAAAGGCAUUUUGCUUGACUAAUCAGGUCAGGGAGCAAGAGGAACCCAAACAAGGGGUCAGCAACCUUGAGAGAAUAUGAAAAGGAGUUAACCAUCAAGGCAUCAAAAAAAAAAAAAAAAGGAAAAUUAAGAAGGCCUAAUAAGCACAAAUGGAAACAGAAAUGAUGAGAAGAUCUGCCAUAGAACAUCUUUCCACCUCUCUACUUUUCUGUCCUCCUGAUAUCUGGACUAUUCUGCAACAGUACUACCUCCGUUUGGCUCUAAAGUCGAUUUAGUCUUGAAUUCUGAUCCAAUACAUAAGAAGUGAUGCCAUGUUUGGCAUGUCUUGCAUUGUUAGAGGGUCCCUAUUAAAAAAGCUUCUUUCUCUUUUUUUACUAGCAUUUUUUCAAACUCUCUAUCUCUCUAUCUCCUUGAUUGCAACACACACAUGCAGGAAUACACACGUACACACAUACGGUUUCUUUGAAGCACAGGAACAUACUCUACUUCAGGCAAGAGGAGUGCAGGUCAAGAGCCAAGAGAGCUUCUCACGGGUAAUCAGUCCACUGGUAAUCAUCCAAGAGCCUUGAAGGAGGUUCACAUGGAAUCCCCAUAGCUCCUUUGCAACUCUCUCAUAUGAAUUCUCAUCCCUAGUUGUCCCUGGGAAAUAUCAGUCCUCCACCUCUCUGGGGCACAUCUCUGAAGCUAGACUCACUUAGAGUCCUCAGGACACUGGCUUCUGGAAUUGACCAAGGCCAGUAAGCAAGGAACUGAUCAUACUAAAAUUAGUAUAGCCCAAACCCCAGCACAGGAAUCUCAGAAUGUCCUAGGGAAUAGGAUAUUUAUUCCUUGGGCCAGUUUUCUGUAUCUGGUGCUGUGUAAUUUGAUAUAUGAAUAUUUUGCAAAAUCCUGAGUAUAUCAUUCUAGAGUUGUAUAAAAUGAGAAUGAUUGGAUUUAAGUGACUUAUUGAAUGUUGUCAAGCAGAGGUAGUGAUGUCAAAAUUCAAGCCUCAAUCAACUUAAGACCAGAAUUCAUACUGUUGUUGAACUGAAAUGAAUUGAUCUAAACCGGCCUCCAUACUUCAACAAUGAAUCAACCCAAAAGGGAUUUUUGUAAGUACAAACUUACAACCUAGCUUGUGGUGCAAGCACAUUGUAACCUAACCAGAGUACACUGUUGUAGCUAAGCAACUGAGUCUCAGCCAAUCACAGCAGCAGACCCCUCAGUCAAUUUCCAGCUAAAGAUUGCCUGUUAUGGUUUAGCUGUGGUGUCCCCCAAAAGCUCAUGUGUGAGUCACUGCAAGAAGGUUCAGAGGAGAAAUGAUUGGAUUGUGAGAGUCUUGACCCAAUUAGUAAUUUAAUCCCUAGUAGGGGUUACUGAGUGGUAACUGAAGUGGUACAGUGUGGCUGGAAGAAGUAGGAAUUGGGGUGUGGGUUUGGGUAUAUAUUUGUGUCUGGGAGUGGAGUCUGUCUCUCUCUGCUUUUUGAUCACAGUGAUGUGAGCUGCUUCCCUCUGCCACUCUCUCCCGCCGUGAUAUUCAGCCUCACCUCUAGUCCUGAGGAAUGAAGCAGGCCUUCUAUGGACUAAGCUCUCUGAAACCAUGAGCCCUCAAAUAAACUCUUCUUUCUCUAUAAUUGUGCUUGUCAGGUCCUUUAGUCACAGCAGUGAAAAAGCUGAACUAAAACACUGCCCAAUUAUAUCAAAUAAGGGGGCUGGGAACACUGCAGCAAUCAGACAAUCCCUGUACACCUUUUCCUGUUUUCCUGGUUAUAAAAGUACUUCAUCACAUUGUAAGUGUUGGGGGACAUUCUGAACCAUCUUCUGACUAGAAUGCUGCCUGACUCUAGAAUAGUUUUUCUUGCUCAAGUAAACUUUGUUAAAUUGAAUUGGUCUCCAUUUUCAUUUUUAAUACUGUUUAUUGACACCAUGCAACCUUUCUGAGAAAUGCUAAUAAUUAACUGGGUGUGGGAGGGUAGGGCUGUGAGCCAGAAAAGAAUCAAAGGCUAAUAGUCCACUAAUAGUCCAAAGUCAAGAAUCCAAUAUUGACAAGAUAGAUCCUCCCUUCCCCCUUUUUUUUUUCUCUUGUCCCUCUGUUCCCAGCAUGGGAGAGGCAGGGCCCAUAGAGGUGGGGGAAGUUAGGGGAUGGGCCUGGAGGUGCCCCAGAGAACAAGGCUCUGUAGAUAAAGUAAAUGAACCAGAGUUGUGAAUUCAACCCCACCUAAAGUCAUUGAAACAUGUACCGGGUGCUCCGUGCAGAUAGCUCUCAUCUUUAUCAGAGAACAUGAUAUUCAGAUUGUUAAAUGACAGCAAGACUAUAUGCCACAGAUGGUUCCAGGCAGCCAGCGCUUGAUCAGGAGUUGCAAUCAGAGGACAGCCUUGUGGAUGAAGGGAGCCGAGAAAAGUUGCUGAGAAGCUCACAGAUUCCCACCAAAACUAAGCCACUCAGAGUUUGUGGAAUGAAAAAGUGAACACAAAGGGCGGAGUGAAUUUAGAAAGGAAGAAAGGAAUUGAGAUGACAUUCCAAGAAAUGAGAAAAAUGCCAGAGAAGCCUUAGGGGCAGGAAUAAGUGGAAGGGGAGGGAAACACCAUGGUUCAUAUCCAGGAGGAGUGGGGGCUGGCAUUGUGUAGUCGCGAGGUCUGUUUUGUCCUAAAGCAACACACUACUUAGAAGCACUUUGGCAAUUCCACUGGGUGUCUCACAAGCCAAUCAAACUUAACUGGUUCCAAACUGAGUUUGAAAUCCUGGGUUUUCAUGUCUUAAUGGAUGGCAAAUCUCUCCUUCCACUUGCUCAGGGCAAACAUCUGGAAGUUAGUCUUGACCCUUCCCUUUCUCUCACAGAUUGUAGCCACUCCGUUGGGAAAGAUUAGCUGCACCUUCCUGAUAUGCCCAGAUUCUACAAUGAAACUUCUUCCACCCCUUCCUCUAAUCUCCCUAGUCCAGGUCCUUAUUGCCUCCUUUCUCAGUUACCAUGGUGGCCCCUUGUUUGACCUCCCUGCUUCCACUCUGUGCCCUGGAGUCGGUUCUCAGUGAGGUGGCCAGAGGCAUUGUUUUAAAAUGCAUAUCAGAUUAUGUCAAGUCCUACUCAAAACCACUGGAGCCAUCUCUCUCUGAGUGGAAGACAAAGUCCUUACACUGUCCCACAAAAUCAGUGGUCUUGAGUACCUCUUCCACCUUCCAACCCUCCCCAGUUUCACCUUCUGAUUCUCCCCUACCUACUCCCUCUGCUCAGGCCCUGUGUGCCUCCUUGCAGGACCUCAGCUGCUCCAGGCAUGCUCUAAGUUGGGGACCUUUGUACUUGCUCUUCCCCUUCCUGGAGUAUCCUUCCUCUAGAUAUUGAACUGGCUUCCUCACACCUUUUGUAUAUAUUUGCUCUAAUAUAUCACCUCUGCACUCAGCUCUUCCCUCAUCACCUAACCUAAAAUGAUAGUCUUUUCCUUGGCACUCUUACCCUUCCUUGCUUUAUUUUUCUUCAUAGUAUUCAUUAUAAUCUGGCAUAACUGUGUAAUUACUUUAUGUCUCUCUCUGCAACUAGAAUAUAAGCUGUAUGAGGGUGUGGGUCCAUUUUCUGUAACUGUAACAAAGUACGUGAGGCUGAGAACUUUUUAAAGAUAAACUUAUUUAGCUCAGAGUUCUGGAGGUUUAAAGGCAUUAUGCUGGCAUCAGCAUAUCUCUGGGGUAGGCUUCAUGGUCGUUGGCAUCACAGUGUGUGUGAGAGGAAGAGAUCACAUGGUGAGACAAAGAGCCGAGAGAUGGGGGCCCCAUAAAAACUGUAUGAAACCCUUCUGAGGGUAUGUCCCAGUGACCUGAUGACUUCCCACUGGUAAUAUUUAUUUGUUUAUUAUUUUUUUAAAUUUUGAUAUAGGGUCUCACUAAGUUGCUCAGGGCCUCACUACGUUACUGAGGCUGGCUUUGAACUUGCAAUCAUCGUAGGCCUCAUUUUUACGGGAUCCCACCACCUCUUAACAUUGCCACACUGGGGACCAUGCUUCCAAAACACAAACCUUUAAGAGGCACUUGAACCACACCCAAACCAUAGCUGUGAUGAUUGGAAUUUCUUUUGUUUUAUUGACUGUUGUAUAUUUAGCCCCUGGAACAGUGCCUGGCCCAUAUUCAAUGAAUGAAUGAGUGACAGAAAACUUGGUCAGAGAGAAUGUUGAAACUAGAUAACAAGAGAAACAACAUCAAUAAUAACACUUUCAAAUUUAAGCUAUUCUCUGUUCAAUUGUUAGAACUCCACCUCAGUUUGGAAAGAUUCCUCUUAACCCUUUGUCUUCUCUGUGUUCACCACUGUCAGAUGGUAGUUGUGGAGGUCAGUUAACAGAGAAGGGGCUUUAGAUGGUGUUACAGGUUGUUUUUUUCAGCUUUGCACCACUGUGACCAAAAUAACUGCCAGAACAACUUUGAGGAAGUGAAGUUUGGUGGUCACAGGUUCAGAGGUCUCAGUCCAUAGAUGGCUGACUCCAUCGCUCUGGACCCAAGGUGAGGCAGAACAUCAUGGAGGACGGGUCCAGCUUAGGAAAGUUGCUCAGCUCAUAGUUGGGUCAGGAAGUAGAGGGUGGGGGGAAGGGGGCACAGGCAAAAUGAACCCUUUCAGGGCACACCCCCGUGACCCACCUCUUCCAGCCAUGCCCCACCUGCCUACAGUCAGUCCAUUCAGAUUAGGAUUGAUUAGGGUCCACUCUCAUAAUCCAAUCACUUCACCUCUGAACAUUCCUGCCUUAAUACAGGAGCUUUUGGGGAACAUAGAUUCAAACCAUAACAUAGAUUAAAUUUUGUAUCUCCCGAAAUUACAUGAAGUCCUAAUCUUCAGUUCCUUGUUCAGAAAUAGGCCCUUUACAGAGUAAUCAAGUUAGGUCCUUAGAUAGGCCCUAUACUCCAGUGUGACUGAUAUCCUUAUACAAAGGGGGAAUUUGGACACACACGGAGGGAGAGAAGGCAAAGCCACACACAGGGAGACAUGAUGGGCAUGUGAAGAUAGUGGCAGAGACUGGAGUAAUGCCACCACAGCCAAAGAAUUCCUGGAGCUACUAGAAGCUGGAAGAAGCAAGGAACAGAUUCUCCCUUGUAGUUCUCAGAAGGAACCAACCAGGCGGACACCUGAUCUGUCCUGAACAUCUCACCCCCAGGACAGUGAGACAAAAAAAAAAAAAAAAUUCGGUGGUUAAACACCCAGUUCAUGGUUCCUUGUUACAAUAAUCCUAGGAAAUUAGUAAAGAUGGGACGCUUCCUUUUUACCAGACGGGCAGCUUGAUUUGAGUAGAAAAUAGGAAACCCAGACCUCAUCUUGCCCUGGUGCUUGCAGGUGGGAUGGGGAAGUGAAGGGGGUCAGUGAGCCUGUCAGUAGGGGCAGAAGAGCAAUUGAGGACAGAGUGGGCAGAGCACCCCCAUCUUGGCCAUGGUCAUGCCCUGUGCUGUAAAGCAAAUCACCCCAUCUUUUAGGCCUUCACACUGUCACUGGCCAAAUGAAUUUCUGGAGUGGAUCUUGCCCACUAGCACCCCCAUGUUCCUUGAUUCUGUGAGCUCCUUGGAGGUCUGAGCCUCUGCAGAAGGCAAGGGAAGAAAACAUUUAAUAAAAUGGUGACCAGAAAAACAUUUUCAAAAACUAUUAAUAUGCAGAGCUUAGAUGAACAAUUUUAAAACUUUGUAUGAGGUUCUCCUUAGCUGGCUUUUCAUCAGCACUUAUUUCUAGCUCAGACGAUGCCAUUGAUAAAAUGAAUGGAGAGGCGAGUCCGUGCUUGAGUAGGUGAUGGUCCCAAAGUGGUAACUACUAAAUUAAGCCAGCGGAGGCUGCCCAAGUUCAAUUCAAAAGUGGAAGCGGAAAAAAUAUCACGAAAAGGAAGAAGACUAAACGAAGAUAAUUUUUAGUCUGUCAGAGAAAAAAGUUAUGCAGAAGGGCCCAAAAUAAUACAUAAUUGGCAAGCUUAUUGUCAACUCUGCCACUUUAGUCCCAGUGGAAUUAUAUGUCAGUUGUAUAAAUUGCUAUAAAUAAUUAUCAGUUUUGUAAAAAUUAUAUGCAGACAGAGAAGCUGGUGUCCCUAUGGGAGCUAGAUCUGUGAAACAUUCAGACUUGGAAACAAUUAACACUCUCCAAAAUCAACCCCAUAGUCUGUAUCAUUAAGGUAUUUUCUUGAAUAGUUUAUCUGUCCUUAACAGGAAUUUUGCUGUUGGAUUAAUUCUUUUCCCCCUGCCUUAUAAACUGUAAAGACUUUUUCAAAAGAUAUAAACUAAUUUUUUUUCCAUCAGGUACCUUCAUUAUCUCUCCAUUAUCCCAUAUACAUCACAAAUUUUCUCAAAGAAAAUGCCCUAUAUAUUCAAAAUAAACCAAACCCUCUCUUUAACCAAGCAAAGUUAUUUGCAUUUGAUCCAUUCCCAUUCUUCCAAAAUAUUAGAAGCAAGUGUGUCAUAUAACAAGUGAAUUGCAGAUUUGGAAGGUAUGUAAGAGGUUACUUUAUCUUAUUUCAUUCAUUCAUUCAUUCACUCACUUCCUCAACUGGCCAGCGAUCUCCUUGAGGAAACCCAUGUGCCUGCUACCAGUUUUCUGGCAAAUGCCACUUGGCCCCACCACUGUUCUUAUAUUCUGUGUGCUCAUUUGUAGCUUCCAGUAGACCAAGAGCUCCUCAGGAGGAUGUAGAUCUGCUCCCAGCACCAGAGUUCUCAGUGCUUCCAUAGUUGCUCAGCUCAUAAAAAGUCAAUUCAUAUUUGCUGAAAGCUGAAUGAGUGGCUGACUAGAAGGAUACACAAAUGAAGGUUCAAAUCCUAAGCUGUUCUGGAAAACUCACCUAAGAGAAGGUAGUUCUGCACUCAUUCAUGUUCUUCUCUUGCCUUUAAUCACUUACACCAAGGAGUUCAGAAACCAUUGAAUGUUCACCCAUCAAUGCAGACUGUUAAAAUCCAGCAACAUGACUGUAUGACCAAUGUGAUUCUGCAACCUGUACACUCAGAAAAAUGAGAAAUUAUAUACCAUCUGAUUCAAAUGUAUGAUAUGUCAAGAUCAUUGUACUGUCAUGUGUAACUAAUUAGAACAAAUUUUAAAAAAAGAAAAAACAAUCCAGCAACAAAUCUUAAAAUGACCAAAGCACUCAUGAAUUUUUUUUUUCUCAUUUUCAACAGGUAAUACAUGUACAUUAUUCCAGAGUGGAGAAAUCUCAUUCCCACAUGUCUCCAGGUACUCCGUUCCCCCAAGACCCUUAUCCCAACCUCUCUAGGUAGGAACCAUAGGAACUAGUUUCUCUGGAACAGUCCCAACCUGUGCUUGUCUUGGUAUAAUUAUUAACAGUGAUCUUUUCACUCUCAAAAAUAUUCCACUUAGGCAAAAACUACUGUGAUUAUUUUGUGUAUAAUUAACUGUUUUACUAUUUCCUUCCAGCUUUUUAUUUAUUUAUUUUUAUGGGGUUGAAAAUUGAACCCAGUGCCUACUGUAUGUUGAGCUCAGUGAGCCCUACUGCUGAGCUACACCCCUAGUACCAAGCUUUUCUUUAUGUAAAAUCAAACAAGUAAGAAUUUAUAUUCACUUCCCUAGCCCCUACUUUUUUUCUUUUUCUUUUUCUUUUCUUUCUUUUUUUUUUUUUUAAAUACUGUGUCUUGCUGAAUUGCCUAGGCUGGUCCCAAACUCCUGAGCUCAAGUGAUCCUCCCACCUCAGCAUUACAAGUAAGUAGCUGGGACUCAGGCAUGCACCCCCAUUCCGGGCUGUUCCUCUCUUUUAGUGCUUUUUCUUAUAUAUUCUUUUCAGUGCCUUUUCUUCUUGACAGCAUGGAUCCCUUUCUGUAGAAAUGCUCCUCAAUUUUCCUCCCUCUGUCCCUCCCUCCUCUCCUUCCUUCCUUUCUUUUUUCUUUUUGCAGCUACAUGGCCCACUGUGGGGAUGACGACGGCUUAUUACCCAGUUUGUUAUUGAUGGGCCAAGCAACUGGGCUCUUUCCAAUUAUCUGUCAUGACAGUCACUGUAGCAGUGUUAUCUCACUUGGUGUUGGGUCUGUAGGAAAAUACUCAGAAGUGGGAUUGCUGGGUCAAAUGGCAGAUGCAUCUGUAAUGUAGAUAGGUAUUGCCAAAUUUCCCUCCGUUAAGGAAAAUUCCAUAAACUUAAAAGAUAUUGUGUUUUCCUAUAGCCUUGCUCUGAAAUGUCUCACAGACUACAUGACUUGAUCCAAAAUUAGAAACCACGACCCAGCAGAGAACAUUCUUGGCAUAUCCCUUUCCCAGAAUCAGACCUGGCUCCCUAGACCUGCCAGAGAAAGGCUAGCACAUUAAUAACUUGCUCCAGUUGUGAUAUAAUCAGGUAAUUUCUGCAAACAUUCUUUAUAUAAAUGCUUUCAUCGAUGCAAAGAGCUUGCAGUAUUUUCCUGUCCUUUUAUUUUUGUCAAUUAUUUCCAGUUUUUGCAUUAAGUCUCUGAACAAUCUGGUGCUUCUUUAGCCUGAUGUAUACAGAGAAUUAUUAUGAAUUAUAGAAAAUUGCAGUGUUGAUAGUUAUGUUGGGACAGCAGGAAUUAGGUAUGUUAGCAUUUGGGAAUUACCUAACCUAUCAUCAUGCUUUUCAAACCCUUUGGGCUAAUGAAGGAAGGCUGGUUAAUUACUCAUGCCUGCAGUUAAAGUGGCCUUGCUAGAAUAAAGAAAACGAAUCUAAUGGGAAGCUAAAAAUGAGGCUAUUAUUUAACCAAUUAAGAUUUUCUCAAAUUAUGGUCCUUGGCCACCUACAUCUGAAUCACGGGAAGUACUUGUUGAUUGAAUAGAUUCCUAGAACACUUUCUAUCUACUCACUUUUUCAGUUUCUCCUGCCAGUUUCUCUUCACAUGCCAUUGUUCUGGUCAAUGUCACUGUUAUCCAUAAUUGUUGAUCAGAAACCAUGUAUGGAACACCAGCCCAAUGCUCUGUAGGAUGCUUCUAGCUUCUCUCACCUUGAUUUUUAGAAAGGAUGUUUGCCUGCUUGCCUUUGUUUCCUUUUCUUCUUUCCUCCCUCCCUCCCUCCCUCCCUCCCUUCCUCUCAUAAAAUGUAAAAAAAAAAUUACUGUAAAAAUUUUCAAAUACAAACAAAACUAGAAAGAAUAGUAUAAUCACCUUUAUGUAUCCAUCACCAAUUUUAGUAAUUAUCUCACAACCAAUCUUGUUUCAUCUAGAAACCUACCAAUAUGAUUUCCCCCUUGGAAAUCACAGACAUUUCAUUUGUAUUUUCUGUCUGCAAUUUUUUGUUUGCUUUUUUUGUUUGUUUGUUUACAUGGUACUAGGGAUUGAACUCAAGGUUAUUUACCCCUGAACUACAUCCCCAGUCCUUUUUAUUUUUUAUUUUGAGUCAGUGACUUGCUAACUUACCCAGACUAGCCUUGAAUUUGUGAUCCUCCUACCUCAGCUGCCAGAGUAGCUAGGAUUAUAGGUGUGCACCACCAUGCCUGAAUGUAAAUAUAUUUUCAUAUGCAUCUAGAUUCCC